rnacentral:tmRNA from 1 species
GGGGUCGACUGGUUUUGACAGCGAGAUUUAUUAGAUGGUAAGCACGUCGUGUAAUGAAAUUGAAACACGUAAAAGACUAUUUCAAACUUUUAAACGGCGAGAAUAACUACGCUUUAGCUGCGUAAUCCGAAUUACAGUAGGAUUUUGCUAAUCCCUACUAGGUAGGGAAGCUAAAUGUCUCUUGAAAGCCCUGGUCAGCGGCGGUCAGCUCAGAGACAUCGUAAAUGUUGACAUAGGGAGCAAAGCGCUUUGAUUUGCUCUUGAAACUAAAGAAGCUAAGUUGUAAGUAGGUUGUCUUUAACCAGCUUGCAAUCGAAAAAACAAGAAAAGAAUAAACGUGUAGAAAGCCCUUUGGUAACUUGUUUGGACGAGAGUUCGAUUCUCUCCGACUCCACUU